rnacentral:rRNA from 1 species
AACGACUCUCGGCAACGGAUAUCUCGGCUCUCGCAUCGAUGAAGAACGUAGCGAAGUGCGAUACUUGGUGUGAAUUGCAGGAUCCCGCGAACCACCGAGUCUUUGAACGCAAGUUGCGCCCGGAGCCUUCUGGCCGAGGGCACGUCUGCUUGGGCGUC